rnacentral:rRNA from 1 species
GACGAACGCUGGCGGCGCGCUUAACACAUGCAAGUCGAACGGAAAGGCCUGCUUUCCCUUGUGGAUUGCGGGUACUCGAGUGGCGAACGGGUGAGUAACACGUGAGUGAUCUGCCCCCAACUUGGGUAUAAGCCUGGGAAACUGGGUCUAAUUCCCGAUAGGACUGCAGGGUGGUGCCUGUGGUGGAAAACGAUUUUCUAGUGGUUGGGGAUGAGCUCGCGGCCUAUCAGCUUGUUGGUGGGGUAAUGGCCUACCAAGGCGGCGACGGGUAGCCGGCCUGGGGGGGUGGACGGCAAAUUGGGGCUGGGAUACCGGCCAGGAUUCUACGGGGGGCAGCAGUGGGGAAUAAUGGACAAUGGGCGGAAGCCUGAUGGAGGGACGCCGCGGGGGGGAUGACGGCCUUCGGGUUGUAAACUCCUUUCGACCGCGAGGAAGCCACCUGGUUGGAAGGGUGGUGACGGUAGUGGUAGAAGAAGCACCGGCUAACUACGUG